rnacentral:rRNA from 2 species
GCUUGCUUUUUAAGUUAGCGGCGGACGGGUGAGUAACACGUGGGCAACCUGCCUGUAAGACUGGGAUAACUUCGGGAAACCGGAGCUAAUACCGGAUAAUCCUUUCCUACUCAUGUAGGAAAGCUGAAAGACGGUUUACGCUGUCACUUACAGAUGGGCCCGCGGCGCAUUAGCUAGUUGGUGAGGUAACGGCUCACCAAGGCGACGAUGCGUAGCCGACCUGAGAGGGUGAUCGGCCACACUGGGACUGAGACACGGCCCACACUCCUACGGGAGGCAGCAGUAGGGAAUCUUCCGCAAUGGACGAAAGUCUGACGGAGCAACGCCGCGUGAGUGAUGAAGGUUUUCGGAUCGUAAAACUCUGUUGUUAGGGAAGAACAAGUACGAGAGUAACUGCUCGUACCUUGACGGUACCUAACCAGAAAGCCACGGCUAACUACGUGCCAGCAGCCGCGGUAAUACGUAGGUGGCAAGCGUUGUCCGGAAUUAUUGGGCGUAAAGCGCGCGCAGGCGGUCCUUUAAGUCUGAUGUGAAAGCCCACGGCUCAACCGUGGAGGGUCAUUGGAAACUGGGGGACUUGAGUGCAGAAGAGAAGAGUGGAAUUCCACGUGUAGCGGUGAAAUGCGUAGAGAUGUGGAGGAACACCAGUGGCGAAGGCGACUCUUUGGUCUGNUACUGACGCUGAGGCGCNGAAGCGUGGGGAGCAAACAGGAUUAGAUACCCUGGUAGUCCACGCCG